rnacentral:tRNA from 1 species
UGGGGGGUCGUUCAAUGGUAGGACAGUGGACUCUGACUCCAUCAAUCCAGGUUCAAAUCCUGGUCCCCCAGCCA